ACCCGAGCAGAGCGUGCCCCGUGCCCAGCCGCGAGUCCCGGCCACUGCUGCGCGCUUCCGCCUGCCCGCGGCUUGGAGCUACGGGGCGCAUUCGGGGCCGAGAUCCCAGGGCUAGGGGUCGCAUCCCGCUGCUGGGGCCCGUACCGUCCGAGGAGACCUGGAGAAGCGUUCCAGCUGCCUCUACCCCAGGAACUUUUCGCAGACCUGGCACGAUCCAGCAGCGGCGGGAGCCGUGGGUUUUCAAAGGAGCUGUGCGGUUCCAGGAGUGAAGCAGCAUGGAUGCCGUCAGCCAGGUCCCCAUGGAAGUCGUGCUCCCCAAGCACAUCCUCGACAUCUGGGUCAUUGUCCUCAUCAUCCUGGCCACCAUUGUCAUCAUGACCUCCUUGUUGCUGUGCCCGGCCACUGCGGUCAUCAUCUAUCGCAUGCGGACUCAUCCUGUCCUCAAUGGGGCCGUCUGAGAACCUCCCAAGAGGGGCAGGUGAGGGAUGAGGACAGCGUCCCUGCCCCCAGCUUCUCCCCCUUUCUCAGAAGAGCCGCAGGAGGGACUUUGGAGCGUGGACUCUGGAGCUCGCUAUGUGAGGAGAUCCGAGUUCUGGUUUUGAUUCUGCCACUGGCCAGUGGUGUGAGUUCGGUCAAGGGACCUAAUUCUAUGAGUUUCAGGUUCCUUAUUUUCCAAAUGGGGAUCGUGAUUCCUGCCCGUCCUACCUCAUGGGGUUGUGAGAACCAGUGACCUAGUGGAGGUUAAAGCUGUUGGUGAGUAGAUACACAGGUGUUACUGCUGAAUGCUGAGAAGCUUUGAAGAACCAAAGACCCUAGCUGCUGAUGAGGGCCUUCAAGGUGGUGAGGGAGAUACUGGAGCAGAGCAGUCUUUCCCAGUGCCCCUAAGGUGAAGGCAAGAAAAGGCACCCUGUCAUCAUUCCAAGGGACCAACAGCAUGUGGCUCAACGUUAUUUUCUUUGAGGUGCCACUCCCUUGAGUUGUCUAAUUUGGGAGGGAAUUGAGCAUGGCACGGGGAGGGAGAUGGGUGGAUCUUCCCGGGACACCAGAAUCUGCAGUUUGGAGGGGCUCUGACAUUUCUUGGCAAUGCCAAGGGAGCUGGGGUGAUGGGCUUCUUUCUGCAUUAGCGUCCCAUAGCUUUGACGCUCAAGCAGUGUUGGCAGAUGCAGGGUGGCUGAGUUCCCUGGCCAGCUUUCAGGAUACCCAGCACCCGCCCCGUCCCCUGUGUGCCCCUCCGCCCCAGCCCCUGCUGUUAUUAGGUCCACCGCAUAACGUGUACUCCCUUCAUCCCCUCCCACCAGCACUGCAACCAUUCCAAGGUACGAGAUGUUCCCAGCACCUUUGGAACUAACUCAAACAAUGAUGUUUAUUUUAAACGCUACAAUUUAUAUUUAUAUGUAUAGAGAGAUUUCUGGAUUGCUCAAGCUCUUUGACCAAAAUCAGGAGCAUCUGGGGAUUUGUUAAAUUAUGUAAGAAGAUAGCACAGAUUAUCGGGAUAUUAUUGUGUGAAAAUGAUGCUUUUAUGUUGAUCUGAUUUCAUUGAUGUACAUAACUAAUUUCCAAUAAAGUGCUAGAAUGAG
rnacentral:lncRNA from 1 species